rnacentral:rRNA from 1 species
GACGAACGCUGGCGGCGUGCUUAACACAUGCAAGUCGAACGGAAAGGCCCUGCUUUUGUGGGGUGCUCGAGUGGCGAACGGGUGAGUAACACGUGAGUAACCUGCCCUUGACUUUGGGAUAACUUCAGGAAACUGGGGCUAAUACCGGAUAGGAGCUCCUGCUGCAUGGUGGGGGUUGGAAAGUUUCGGCGGUUGGGGAUGGACUCGCGGCUUAUCAGCUUGUUGGUGGGGUAGUGGCUUACCAAGGCUUUGACGGGUAGCCGGCCUGAGAGGUGACCGGCCACAUUGGGACUGAGAUACGGCCCAGACUCCUACGGGAGGCAGCAGUGGGGAAUAUUGCACAAUGGGCGGAAGCCUGAUGCAGCAACGCCGCGUGCGGGAUGACGGCCUUCGGGUUGUAAACCGCUUUCGCCUGUGACGAAGCGUGAGUGACGGUAAUGGGUAAAGAAGCACCGGCUAACUACGUG